rnacentral:rRNA from 1 species
CGGAGGGUGCAAGCGUUAUCCGGAUUCACUGGGUUUAAAGGGUGCGUAGGUGGGCAAGUAAGUCAGUGGUGAAAUCUCCGGGCUUAACCCGGAAACUGCCAUUGAUACUAUUUGUCUUGAAUACUGUGGAGGUCAGCGGAAUAUGUCAUGUAGCGGUGAAAUGCUUAGAUAUGACAUAGAACACCAAUUGUGAAGGCAGCUGGCUACACAAAUAUUGACACUGAGGCACGAAAGCGUGGGGAUCAAACAGGAUUAGAUACCCUGGUAGUCCACGCCCUAAACUAUGGAUACUCGACAUUUGCGAUAAACUGCAAGUGUCUGAGCGAAAGCAUUAAGUAUCCCACCUGGGAAGUACGAUCGCAAGAUUG